rnacentral:misc_RNA from 1 species
GAAACAUAAAUAUUGUGAACACAGAAAAGGAAACUAACAAACGGAAAAACAAACAUACGAAUAGAUUCAUGGGUAAAAGUAAUUGGAUUGAUUGCGUCGAAUAUCUGGGAAUUUGAAUUUUUGCAAAACAAAGCGCAGUUUUAAUUUAAAUCAGGAGAAUUGUAACAACGCAAGAAAAUAUCUGUGACGAAAAAUCUGAGAACAAAGUAUACUGCGACAUAUGGAAUACAGGUGAAGACAAUUUGUCAAGUGAGACAUUCACUUUUCAUUCGAUGUGAAUACCAAAUCAAUAGUUGAAAAUAUAGCAAAUUAUUAGGUGUUUGAAAAAUCGAACUUCAAAGCAGAAGGAAAAGUAUAUCAAAGUAUAUCAAAGUGCAUUCAGUAACAAAAUUUGACGCAUAUAAUCCGAGUGAAUGUGAAAUAUUAUAGUUGCUAGAGGAGUGGAUAUAUAGAGUGUACGAAAACAUACUGUUUUGAAUUACCUACGCUCUUAUUGUAAUUAAAUUAACGUUAAUUGGCUGGUGGACGUAUAAUGUUUUGAAGAAAAUACAUACAUACAUAUUCCUAUAUUGGUAGCCCAUUAGCUAACGAUUAAAGAACUAUUGGAAAGACAGGAAAUUUGAUAUUUAAUCAGUGGCAAAAUAAACAAAAUAAACAGAGGCAAGUUCGAUUGGAACCAACCCAUUAAAAGUGUUUUGUGCGCUUACUUGUGACUAAGGCUAACUGAUAGCCUCAGAUCCAUAGACAGACAAUAACGUUCCAGUGUCGCUGCAACAAAAACAAACACCAUAACAAACCCAUUGCGGGAGGUGUGCCAUCACAAACGGUGCUAUUUUUUGUUCUACGUCGUACUUUUUGUAUUUUCUGUAGCUCUUGAACUGAUAAGGUUGUGCGCAGCAACACAAGGUAGGUGCAGAGUGUAAACAAUCACUUAUCAGGGUGUAGAUAUAGAUCGCAAAGCUAUCGCCGAGUGCACACUCACCGACAUAUGCAGGCAACUGCCGACAUACAGACAUUUAUGAAGACUUAACAAUAACAAUAAUCGGUCAAAAAGCGCUGGAACAAACGCAGUAACACCAGCAACAACGUCGCCGUACAAGUACAAACAAAUAAGAUAAAUAGUAAUAAAAUACACAAGUAAAGCCCAAUCGAAAACAAAACAAGACCGCAAAUAGCAAAACAAAGCGUAGCACACGAAAAGCGGGCAAAAUAAAGAGCAACGCUCCAUUGAUGCCGUUGAGUUGUUGUUGAACCAUAGCGCAGCAAGCUGGCGAACUAAAUGGUCGCGCGAUUCAAACAGAAAGAAGCGCAAAUACAUAUACACACAUUGCUGAAGUGAAUAUUGUUGACUAGUUGUGGUCGUUUUGCUCCGUUUGUGUUGCUCUAAUUGUUGCAAGUGCUUUGGAGUCUGCAGUGCACACAUACCCACACGCUGGUGGCACUUGAGGCGCUGGAGCGGUGCAGUCGUGCGGUUGCUAUUGUGAUUUCCUCAAAAAGCAAGCGAAGCGAAGACUCAAUUUUACGUUGGACGCAGCCGUCGUUAUUAGUUUUCAACUAAAAACCAAGGGCUUUCUAGUCAAAGAUACGGCAUAUACCUUACAUUCUUCGCAAUAUUUGGUGCGUGCAGUAAAAUAAAAUGGUGAAGACAUUUCAAGCCUACUUGCCGUCCACGAAUCGAACGUACUCGUGCGUGCAUUGCCGUGCGCAUCUUGCGUCCCAUGAUGAGCUCAUCUCGAAAUCGUUCCAGGGUAGUCAAGGACCUGCCUACCUCUUCAACUCGGUGGUGAAUGUGGGCUGUGGCCAAACCGAGGAGCGUGUGCUACUCACCGGUCUACACGCCGUCGCAGACAUAUUCUGCGACUGUUGCAAAACACCGCUGGGCUGGAAGUACGAACACGCCUACGAGAGCAGCCAGAAAUACAAAGAGGGCAAGUACAUAAUAGAGUUGGCGCACAUGAUCAAGGAAAACGGCUGGGAUUGAGCGAAUGUGUUGAUAUUUAUACGAUGGAGCAGAACGCCUAUGAUGAGACGAAGCGUAGCGAUGUCGAGCGAAUGCAGUGCGUGUUAAUGCAGAGGACAAUGUGGAUGUUAUACAAUCUAUGUUAGUGAUAUUGUGUUUGAAGAUGAGCUUGAGAUCGGUAUUGGUAUUAUAUUGCGAGGAAUUUUGGUGAAUGCGAUUGAAGUAUAUUAGUGGCUAGAUAUGAAUUAUGUAGUGAUAAUUGAAGUGAAGGUUUGGUAAUGUUUAAGAUGUAUUUUGUGUAUACACUUUUGACAUUAUCCUUAAAAACAAGGCGAAUGUCUGCUAUAAACCUCAAUAGAGCAAAUGUGUUUAAAUUAAAGUUAUAAUGUGAUUUUAAGUUUAAAAUUGCCACCGCCUUCUCUUAACACCAUUAAGGAUCAGAACACAAAAACACAGAACCGAUGGCCGCAUACGUUCAUAAAUCUACAUCUAUCACUAUCACUUCUGCUGGCAAACACCCAAAUCCUUCCUUACAAAACCGAUACAUUUUCAAUAUCUUUUCAUAAAACAACACUUACAAAGAAACAUAACAAAAACAAAAGCAAACAACACUUAUAGUUAAUCCACAAGACAGGCCCUGCAGAAACUCGCUUUUGUAAACCAGUUGCAAGUCUUGCUGGUUUCAUUUCCAGAAUCGUGAUAUGAUACGAAAAGCAUAUACCCGGCGAACCGUACCAAAACUUUUGGAUAAAUGAACAACAAAAAGAAAAAAAUUACAUUGGAAAAAUGUUGAAAUGAAAGCACACAAACGCAUGCAAUUGAGUAUCAAAGCGUAGAGCGCAGACGAUGUCGCUAAGCUAAUGGGAAUGGACGCAUAUUGUGAAGUUGAUAAUUUUGAACUGUCUUUGCUGUCACUGCCACUGCCGAUACUUUAAAUCUUCUAACAACAAUUCUACAAACUCAAACUUUUGCGGUUUACUUUUGCUGCAAACGUGACUUCUGCUGAUAGCACCAUUGAUGGCACAGCGCUUUCAAUGAACAAACUACAUGCUAACCAAAUAUCUGUACACACGGCUUGGAUGCGCCUGCAAAUGGAAAGUUUAGCUUACCUCUCCGAAUCAACGGUUCAAGUCGUAAAUACCCUCAUAUAUUUUCCGACAUCAGCACACAACCAGUCCUAACAAUCUUCAGAAAUGAAGUAAACUAUUUGGAGAAACCAGUCGCUUUUUCGUUCUAUAAUAGUUAAUGAUAAAUUAUUGAUAAAUACCUAUUAUUUUACUGUUAUAAUUAAAAAGUAUGGUACACUAUAUAAACUUAUGUGUCUACGUGUAAUGAGUGUAAGCUUAUUUUUAUGUGUAUUCGUGACAGAGACGAUGUAUUUUUAAGUUUUAUGUGCAUUUUUAUUAGCUCAACAAGAACAAACAUAAUUAAAUUUACAUAGAACUGAUAUUAUGUGUAAAGUAAGUAAUAUACAUACAUAUAUGAUAUAAAUUCAAAA